GAUAUCCGUGAAGUUGCCCGUAGUAUUGUAGUUGUUGCUAAUGAAUUCAACCAGGACUCCAAGCUCCGAGUAUGCUUUACGACGACUGUGUCCUCUUGAACUAAAGUAUCCUCUUUACCUGUCCGUCACUAAUGUUAACGUUGUGCCGACUGCAAAUCCUAAAUAUCUUUAUAUUCUAACUCGAAAAGUAAAAAUCAAUGAAUAGAUGAAUAUCCAGCGCUGUGGAUGACGCCAUUGUGAUGAACUCUGACCCGGAACCAGUCUCUGUGUUUAAAAAAAAAAUAAAGAAAAAAUUACGAGAUAAUCCCGACAAGAAAAAUGAAUUAAUUCGGAAAACAGAUUUAAAAAAAAAUAUUAUUCCGGAAAACGGAAUAAAAAAAAAAUUAAAAAAAUCCUGAAAACGGAUUUAUUUAUUUUUUUAGUGACGACAAUGCUCCAUUGUACUAAUCUGUUUAACUGCAUUAUUUUAUUUAUUUAUUUUAAAGGCCUUAAGGAGUCAAUAACUGUAAUCAUUAAAACGUUUGAUUUAAAAAAUAAACAUGUUUUUUUCAAGUUUUAGUUUCAUUUGUAAACCUGGGAAUGUUUGCUGUUGUUGUCAUGGUAACGAGUGACCGUUCAACUGCUUGGGCGGAGCUAUAGUGCUUUCAUGUUCGCUGAUUUCUGUCAAGGACACAAAACUCCAACAUUUUACCAACAACAAACUGUAAGAGACAAAUAAGUGAACAAGGAGUGAACAACAUCAGGGAGAAAAAAAGAUGACAGCAGUGGAGAUGGAGCAAGAGCAGAUGAGGGUGCUGCUUAAAGACAACAAUGCUGAGCUGAUGGAGGAAGUCCUUUCUUUAAGGAAGGCUCUUCAAAAGCAGAAGGAGAAGACCCAAAAAGUCAACCUGGAGCUCCAGCUCACUGACCUCAACAUCAACACAAACAUUAAUGAGAUGAAGAUGGAUUGGGGGGAUAUGAUGGAUCAGGAUGAUAAGGACAAUGAAAUCCUGACUUUAAAAAAGGCAAAUGAAGCCCUUAGUGAGAAGAACUUUCUACUGGAGAAGACAUUGACUGAGAAACAGGAGGAGCUGAUCAACAUGAAGGAAAAGCUCCCAGAGUACCAUGAGAGCAAACUCUCAUCAGAGAUACAAACUCUGAAAUCUGCCCUGCACGUCCAGCACACAGAAGCUGCUGAAGCUUCAAAACAGCUUCAGGACCAGGACAUGAUGAUUGAGAAGUUGAAAACUAUUGCUCAGAUAAAGAUGGCAGAAUCUAAUGCACACUGGAGCAGAAGGAUGGAGGUUCUAAAGCAGCAGGUGCAGGAUUCAGAGAAGAACAAUGUCUGUAUGGACUCCCAGGCUCAGAUAAACUACCUCCAGACACAAAUCACCUCCCUGGAAGAUCUUCUACAGAGCCAAAGCAAGCAUGUUGGGCUUUUACAAAGGCAGCUGCUGGACGAAAGACAACAUUUAGCAAGAACUUUUGAGUCCCACAACAAGGCCAUGUAUGACUCCCAUGCACAAUGGGAUGAGCGGUGGUCCACCAGGGAGGAGGAGAUGCUGACUUCUAUGUCCAUCCUUCAGAGCCAGCAUGAACAGAGGAUGAAUGGACUGACUAACAGGAAUGCUGAGAAUCUGACAAAGAUUUCCCAUUUGGAAAGUCAGCUCAUGGAGUCUCAGGCAGAGUGGAGUGACAGGUACAAAACCCUGCAGGAGAAACACCUGUCAACGAGCAAAGCAAAGGAGGAGAGGAUGCAACACCAAAUGGAGGCCCUGAUGAGAAAGAACAUUGAACUCCAGGAGCUGGCCUUGAAAACAGGUGAAGAAAAGGCCACCGUGAGGAAGGAGCAGAAAAAGAGAGAGAAGGAGGACGCCAAGAGGAGGCAAAGGGAGCUGAAAGAGCGAGAAACGCUGGAGAAAACCAAACUGAAGGACGUGAAGAAAGAAGAGAAAGAAAAGACUGGGGAGGGAAAACACCAACGGUCUUUCUUUUGGCAAAAACUGCUGAGAAAACCACAUCGCAAUUUUUUUCCCCCUGC
ensembl:lncRNA golgin subfamily A member 4-like